GAUGAACGCUGGCGACGUGCUUAACACAUGCAAGUCGAACGGAAAGGCUCCUGCUUGCAGGGGUACUCGAGUGGCGAACGGGUGAGUAACACGUGGGUGAUCUGCCCUGCACUUCGGGAUAAGCCUGGGAAACUGGGUCUAAUACCGGAUAGGACGAUGGUUUGGAUGCCAUUGUGGAAAGUUUUUCGGUGUGGGAUGAGCUCGCGGCCUAUCAGCUUGUUGGUGGGGUAAUGGCCUACCAAGGCGUCGACGGGUAGCCGGCCUGAGAGGGUGUACGGCCACAUUGGGACUGAGAUACGGCCCAGACUCCUACGGGAGGCAGCAGUGGGGAAUAUUGCACAAUGGGCGCAAGCCUGAUGCAGCGACGCCGCGUGGGGGAUGACGGCCUUCGGGUUGUAAACUCCUUUCGCUAGGGACGAAGCGUUUUGUGACGGUACCUGGAGAAGAAGCACCGGCUAACUACGUG
rnacentral:rRNA from 1 species